rnacentral:rRNA from 1 species
UACGAAGGGGGCUAGCGUUGCUCGGAAUCACUGGGCGUAAAGCGCGUGUAGGCGGUCCGGUAAGUCCGCUGUGAAAGUCGAGGGCUCAACCUCGAAUGCCGGUGGAUACUGUCGGGCUUGAGUACGGGAGAGGCGAGUGGAAUUCCUGGUGUAGCGGUGAAAUGCGCAGAUAUCAGGAGGAACACCGAUUGCGAAGGCAGCUCGCUGGAACGUUACUGACGCUGAGACGCGAAAGCGUGGGGAGCAAACAGG